GGAAAGUAAAAGUCGUAACAAGGUUUCCGUAGGUGAACCUGCGGAAGGAUCAUUAUUGUAUAACCGAGGUGCGAGGGCUGUCGCUGACCCGAAAGGUCGUGCACGCCCGAGUGCCCUCACACACAUCCAUCUCACCCCUAUGUGUACCACCGCGUGGGUCCCCCUUUGGCUUGUUCGGAGGGGGGCUUACGUUUUCACACAAACUUUGUAUGCAGUGUAGAAUGUAUUUUUUGUUUUUGCGAUCACGCAAUCAAUACAACUUUCAACAACGGAUCUCUUGGUUCUC
rnacentral:misc_RNA from 1 species